AACUGUUACGGUACAGGCAGUUUACUAAGACACUGUGCUCCGGAAGUCAGGAUGGGACAGGCUGUUACAGAGUAAAUGAAUACAAUGCAAAGCAGGCAGAGAAGAGAUUGUGUAAUGUGUGCAAGAGGGGAGAGUCAGGCAGUGAUCCUUGAUGGGUGAAUAAGGGAUGUUCCAGCUACGCCAGUGCUGUGUCCAAGAAUCAAGGCAGAAGUAAAUAACAAGGGCUUUGUUCUAAGAUUAAAAAGUAACUGUCAUUUGAAAACUCAACAAGUGUGCCCCAGCUUAGCGAGUCCCCAUUGUUACUUCCCAUCUCUUGUAAUAGGCUGAAUCCGUUCAGUUGGCUAUUCCUUCCAGCUGCCUUAAAAGGAGACUUAGGGGGAAACUGCAUGUUAAAUCACCAUAUUUCUCCCUCUCCGUACUCCCACAACCCAGCACUACAAAAGAUAAUCCUUGGUCCAUGCAGGUAGUUAUUUAGCUUGGUCAGGCCAUCUCUCUGGUUCACUCUCUGUCCGAAUGGUUGAUGGAGUUGCUUAUGUUUAGCCUGGAGAAGAGAAGAUGGAGAGGUGAUAUGAUAGCCAUCUUCAAAUAUCUGAAGGGCUCUCACAUGGAAGAUGGAGCGGGCCUCUUUUCUGCUGCUCCAGAGGGUAGGACUACAACUAAUGGAUUCAAAUUGCAAUGGAGGAGGUUAUAGCUAAGCAUUAGGAAGAACUUUCGGACAGUAAGAGCUGUUUGACAGUGGAACGGGCUCCCUUGGAAGGCGGUGGACUCUCCUUCCUUGGAGGUUUUUAAACAGAGUUUGGAUGGCCAUCUGUCAGGGAUUCUUUAGCUGUGAUACCUGCAUUGCAGGGGAUGAACUGAAUGACCGUUGGGGUCACUUCCAUCUCGACAAUUAUGUGAUUCUAUGAUCCAAGGCAGGUUCUGGUGUCGUCUGUAGUGCUGAUGACACAGUGAAAUCAUCCAGCACAGCACAGCUCACCUGCUUCACUUUCCUACUCUGAUGGAGCCGAAUAAGAAACAUCCCACACACAGUCAUCAGAAAGGUCAUGAGUAUAAUGUUCUGUUCUUUCAAUAAGUUUACAGAGAGAUGUUAAUCUGUAUUCUCCCUUCCACAAUAUCCCAGGUUUUUGGCUUUUUGAAAAAUAUGCUUUAUUUAUGCAUUUUCAGAAGUAAAUACAGUUAAAAUGUCUAACUCGAAAGCACCCCCCAUUUCCCCUCCCCCUCCUUCCCAGUCAUCCCAUAUAAUUCAUAUAAUUCGCAUAGAAUUAAGGUGUUUAACAAAUCAUGUGUAAAUAUUGAGAUCAAGUGUAAAUAUUGGGUAAUGUUCAUUCUCCAAGCAGAUUGCUCCAGAGAGUCAAUGGCAGUGUCUUCGUCCUGUUGUUUCUGACAUGGGGGGAAUGUACCAUAUGUCAUCAAAAUCUUAGAUAGCUUUUCUAUGAGUGCAACUCUUCCCAUAGCAUGCAUCCCGUAUAAAAUUAGCAGCUGAUUUCCAAUUUUGAGCUAAAACCUGUCCAGCAGCCACCAUAAAAAGGAUUAAUAGUUCUUUUAUAAAAAAAAAAGUCCUUUAAACCUUCAGCAAACAAGUUUGAUAAUGGUAGUCUGGGAUCACAGGGAACUGUUCCACUUAACUUACUUCAUCUAUUCUUAGGCUAUGAAAACCUUGAAUCUUCUUGCAGCUCCACCACAUGUGGCAAUAAGGUCCCAAAUCUUAGCAACCUCUCCAACCUAGUGGGUUUGCUUGUGAGCUUGUUUUAUAGCAUCUGAGAGGUGUGAAAUGCCACCUAUGUAGCAUUUCUUUCUGUCCUGAUAUAGAUAUAUAUAUAAAGCUGAUAUAGACUUAAAUGGUUUCCCCAAAAAUUUAUGUCACUCACUUGGCUCACUAUUACAGAUCAAAUCUGAUUCCUGCAGAGAUUUUAAGGAACCUAGAUUACCAUGUGACAGUAAUUUUUAGAUGUGUAGUAUUUAGGAGAAGCUGUUCUAUGGGUUUGAGUGGUCUGAUGGCUUGAGACAUCCCUAUAGGGUUGGAAGUAAAGUGUUUUACUUGAAUAGCCAGCCAGUCUGUAUCCUAGUUUUUCUGUUAGCUGAGUGCCUAUCAAUAGGGUGUUUAUACAGGUCCCUAAUGGUAUUAAAAAAUGUUUCCAGUCAUUAAAUUGUUGUUCCCUAGUUUUGCUAUAAAACAGGGGAUGGUGAUAGCUAUAAGAGGAAAGAUGGCGGGAGCUAAUCUUUUAAUAUAAUCAUAGAACUGUAGAGUUGGAAGAGAUCCAAAGGGUCAUCUACUCCAACUCCCUGCAAUGCAAGAAUCUUAGCUAAAGAAUCCCUGACAGAUGGCCAUCCAACCUCCAUUUAAAAACCUCCAAGUCCAUCACAUUUUGAGGGGGUUUGUUCCAUUGCUGAAUAGCUCUUACUCUUAGAAAAUCUUCCUAAUGUUGCGUUGGAAUAGUUGGUCCAUGUGGUUUGCAAAUGCAGUUGGUUUUAAUGCAUCAGGAAUGGAACAGCUGCUGCCUGUUUGCAUUUGAAAGAAUCUCAUUCCAGUGAAAUUCAUGCACAUUGCUGUGUUUCAUCAUUUAACAUGUGCUACGUAUAUGGGAUGUAUUAUGAUCCCUUGUCAGAAUAUCCUAGGUUUCUUAACUCAAACAAAAAAGCUGCAUUCAAAUUGUUGUCCAUUCGCACCCCAAUGUUGCUCUGUUUACACUUCAGAUUCCAUUUGUUUUUCCCCAACUAUUUCAUUCAUGAGAGAUUCUGAAGAUAUGCCUGGUUUAGAUUUUAAAACUCCAACAACAUUCACUUCCGGAACGCAGGCUCCCCCUUCUUCCCUGAACUGAAGGUGACAUCAUCGGUGACUAUGACAGAACAAUAGGCCUAGGCCAGCCUUGGUCUGGAUCUGAGGCGUGGAAGGCUCAGAAACCUGUCUUGCUCUCUGUGCUGAGUCCAUAGAAAGCUGUGGCUUUCUAUGUUCCCUCCUAGAAACCUAAUGGGGGAGGAAGAUAUGCUCCAUAUGAAUAGAUGUGUAAAUAAAAACAAUAUUGUGGGACUAAGUCAAAGAAGCUCGGUGAUAAGAGCAUCACACUUUGCAUGCAGAAGGUCCCAGUUUCAGCUGCCAAGAAAAGCUUGGGAAGUCCCCCAACUAAGAUUUUAAUAUUAGUUUUCUGAUAUAUCCCCUCCCCACUGAUCUUCCAGGAUGAGAAGAGGUCUGAAGAGGGUGGAGCAGAGACAGCCAUGUCAGCAGAGUUUCAGAUUGCAUGGGAAGGACCCACAGGAGGAGGAGAUUUAGGCAGCUGUGGGAAGGCGGGGAUCUUCAGCCUCCACAAUGGCCUCAUAGGUGCAAGACCUACUGAGAAGACUUGUUGUGCUCAUUAGGCCUGACUCUCCUGAGCUGACCUGGUUUCUGCUAAUAAAGAGUUAACAUCACA